rnacentral:rRNA from 1 species
UACGAAGGGGGCAAGCGUUGUUCGGAAUUAUUGGGCGUAAAGAGCGUGUAGGCGGCUUGGAAGGUCAGCUGUGAAAACUCGAGGCUCAACCUCGAGACGUCGGUUGAAACCACCUGGCUAGAGUCCGGAAGAGGAGAGUGGAGUUCCCGGUGUAGCGGUGAAAUGCGCAGAUAUCGGGAAGAACACCCGUGGCGAAGGCGGCUCUCUGGGACGGUACUGACGCUGAGACGCGAAAGCGUGGGGAGCGAACAGG